UCCAAGUGAAUGGGCAGAGGACCUGAG
rnacentral:piRNA from 1 species